CCUACGGGAGGCAGCAGUCGAGAAUCAUUCACAAUGGGGGAAACCCUGAUGGUGCGACGCCGCGUGGGGGAAUGAAGGUCUUCGGAUUGUAAACCCCUGUCAUGUGGGAGCAAAUUAAAAAGAUAGUACCACAAGAGGAAGAGACGGCUAACUCUGUGCCAGCAGCCGCGGUAAUACAGAGGUCUCAAGCGUUGUUCGGAAUCACUGGGCGUAAAGCGUGCGUAGGCUGUUUCGUAAGUCGGGUGUGAAAGGCGCGGGCUCAACCCGCGGACGGCACAUGAUACUGCGAGACGAGAGGAAUGGAGGGGGAACCGGAAUUCUCGGUGUAGCAGUGAAAUGCGUAGAUAUCGAGAGGAACACUCGUGGCGAAGGCGGGUUCCUGGACAUUAACUGACGCUGAGGCACGAAGGCCAGGGGAGCGAAAGGGAUUAGAUACCCCUGUAGUC
rnacentral:rRNA from 1 species